rnacentral:snoRNA from 1 species
UGCAGUCAAGUCAAAUUCAGCUCCCAUCUUCUCAUGGUGGGGGCUGGCCCAGGUGGCUGCUACAGCAAGUUACGCUGUUCAUGGGCCCUGUGUCCCCUGUCUGGGACAUGGGGAUAAGUUUGGCUGCGGACAUGA